CAGAGCUCCCCAGGCCCCCAUGCACCUUUGGCCAUGUCCAUUCACAUAUGGCUCCCAUGGCCUUACCAGACACCCUUGCAGUGCCUGGUUCCCUGAGGCAGAAGGGGAUCCCAGCACACACAGAAGUGGUUCUGGUCUUUGCCCCCUUCUAGAUUUGGAUCACGACUUACAUGACUUGGAAGUCCUGGUUAAUGAGACUUUGAAUGGCUUGGAGAAUGCUGGAGGCAAGUUCUGCAUUUCCGUUUUUACUGGCAGAAUAAUCAGUGUCCAUGCGGAUAAAGCUCACUCAUGGGCCAUUUUUGUUAAGGUUAAGUCAGAGUGGAAAGAUUCUAAAAACUUUGCCCUGCUCCCUUCUGGAGCCCUGAGAGAUCCCACUGGAUCACUGUCAGUGGGAGGAAGCAGCAUUUAGCUGUCCAUCUUCCUCCUGUGUGCAAUGCCAGUGUGUCCUACCAUGUGCUCUGUGCAGCCACAGAGAGGAGCAGAGAGGGAAGGGGCCGGGCCCAGGGCUGUGCCCCGGGGCUGAGCCUUGUGGGCAGCCUGAGGAUCUCCUGCAGUGCCACAGGAGCUCUUCUGUCCUGCCUUUCUUUGCAGCUGAACCUGCUGGUGAAGGUGGUGCAGCUUCCCAGCUCACGUCCGGAACUGAGGCUCUGGGAGAUGCUGAGGGUGUGUCUGCAGGGAGGACUUUCCCAGGUCCUUUGGUGGAUGUUGCACGCAAGCCCAUCUCCCAUCACAGGGGUCCUCCAAGACGGAAGAAGAAACCUACAGGAGCUCGUACAUCCCUGGAGGAAUCCAAAUAUCUGGAAAAACUCCUGAGUGAUGUGGACAGCCAGCGUGAUGCAGCCAGCACCUCAACACAUUCUGACAUCAUCUGGAAAAGCAUGAGAAGAGUUUUCUGCUGGGGAACACCUUGUUUGAUUAAGUUGAUGGCCAUUGUGGCUGGUGCGGCACUGUGCCUGAUGAUGUGCUGUGCAGGAAUCUGGUAUUGCUGGACGAGAAAAUGGUGCUCCUGUGUAUCUCCAGAAGACCAGCCUAAAAACAGAGGCAAUGACAACCUGACCGUUUAUCCCAGGUCUUCACUUCCGCCCCUCUUUGAACUGCCGUGGCUGCAUGAGCAUCAUGAGGCAUCCCAAAACCCACCCCUCCUCAAUGAGACCCUCUGCCCC